rnacentral:rRNA from 1 species
GUCUAUGGCCAUGCCACUCUGAACAAGCCCAAUCCCGUCUGAUCUCCGAAGCUAAACAGGGAUGAGCCUGGUUAGUGCUUGGAUGGGAGACCCUAAGAAGAC